rnacentral:lncRNA from 1 species
GGGGAACGAUGAAAACGCCAGGAAGUGGAGAGGCUUAGACGAAAGGGAAAAGGAAGACACUAAUGUCAUCUCAGAAAUAUCUCCUCCCCAACCCGACACACUCCAAUGCUGCUUGGACUUGAAGUUGAUGGAAAACUCUACAUUUAUGCCAGUUUCCAAGAAGAAAACUAAAGUCAGACUUGGCAGCACAGGAAACAAGACAAUACCCCGCCUGGAGAACAUGGAGCCCUCAAGGAAGCUCAUGCUUUUCUGGAAGACUUAGGUAGAAAGAAGCAAAAAGUUAACUGGAAGAAACUAAUCCCAAGCCUGUGCCAGAAAUGGAAUUUAAAUUGAUAUUACCUGCAUUGUGUGGGAGCUGCAAGGAAACAAAUUAACACAAAGACUGAUUCAGUAUUAUUGGAACCCCUGGGAACCUACCAGAAUAAAAACAAACCGUGACACUUUCACAACUAGGACACAGGAAUUACUCAAGAUAAAAUAACACCCACAGAAGGUCCCUGGACACAAAGUGAGUUACAAAGACCUGAGGAAACAACUCACCAUUUGAGAGAGUUAGCUGAUAUACAAACAGGACUGUUAGAACUGAAGAACCAUAGUAACAGACCAAAAUGAGAGUAAUUAUUCAAUAUGUUCUUUGUGAUCAUUUAAAAGGUAAAAGAAAUUCUAGAAAUGGAACACUAAGAAGAAGAUAAAUGAACUUGAAAAAGAAGAAAGAAAACCAAAUCAUCUACAAAUGAAAAUAAGAAACUUAAAAUAGGAGAUAAAAUAGUUGUCCUGCCACAGUUCAGGAGAGGAAUAAAAAGGUGGCUUUGAGGAAAGUCCCCAGAAAGCAACAUAGAGAUAUAAAGAAGUGGAAAACAUGAAAGCUGAAUUGAGACAUAAAUGAUACAUUGAAAAAUUAAAACAUUUCUGAGUGGAGUUCCACAAGAAGAGGACAGAGAGUUUAAGGAGGUGAGGUGGAUGGAUGAGGGGGAAAUAGAUAAAUGAACAUAUGGAAACAAAGUGGAACUAAAACUCUAAAUAACACAAAACAAAACAGGGAUGGCCAAGGUCAGAGUUUUGUUUGGAAAGUGGAUAAGAACUAUUGAUUAAUUUAGUCUCUCAUACAUUUUAAAUUUUAAUGGAAGGAAUUCUCAAAACUCAGUAAUAGGAGUUCCCUUUGUGGCGCAGUGGUUAACAAAUCCGACUGGGAGCCAUGAGGUUGCGGGUUUGAUCCCUGGCCUUUCUCAGUGGGUUAAAGAUCCAGCGUUGCUGUGAGCUGUGGUGUAGGUUUGCAGACGUGCCUCGGAUCCUGCAUUGCUGUGGCCCUGGUGUAGGCCAGUGGCUACAGCUCUGAUUAGACACCUAGCCUGGGAACCUACAUAUGCCGCAGAAGCGACCCUAGAAAAGGCAAAAAAAAAAAAAAAAAAAAAAAAAAA